GCCACUGCACUAUAUUAUAUGUGUACACAGACAUAUGUAUUUCAAAAUAUUCUGUCAUACAUAAAUACAUAAAAUUUUAUUUGUUAAUUUAAAAAGAAAAAAGUGAAACAAAAUUCACAGAACUAAAAGAAGAAAUAAAUGCACAAUUAUAGUUGGCUAUUUCAACAUUCUUCUCUCAACAACAGAGGACAUCUAGAAAGAAAAUCAUCAAGAAUAUAAAAUAAUUCAACAACACCAUCAAUUAACAGGAUCUAACUGACAUUUAUACAACACUCCACCCAACAACAGCAGGAUGUUCCUUCUUUGCAAGGGUCCGCAGAACAGAUCCAAAAUCUAGACCACCUCGUGGAGGUUUCAUUGCACGUGGCACACCUUGUUGAUGAGAAGAUACGGAGUUAGACGGCAUUUACACCUGAAAAGGCGCAGGACUCCUUGUAUGUUAAGCUAUUAAAGCAGAAGUAGACGAAUCUAACUAAUCUAGCCAGGAGCUGAGCCAGGUCUGAAUGUUGUUACCCUGUGGUCUAGCUUCCCCUUCUCCGGUUUGCGUUUGCCAUCAAAUCAGCUCUCCCGGUGGCUUUUUGUGGGCUGUUGUUCGCCUGUUUCGUUUGUUUCCUCUGUCCGAGCUCGCUGUGCCGUCAGGGUCCGCCUUCCUGUGCGCCCACCGACUGCCCGGAGUGCGGGCCCAGUCCUCCGGUCUCCCGCAGCCUCAUCCCAGCCGGGCCCCGGGCCGGGCCUCUCCGUGGCGGCGCAACUCUGCGUCCGUCCAGGGGACCUCAUUUCACAGAUGCCGUCCGGUGCUCAGGGGUCGGCCGUCCUGCCCGGAGUCCCCUCUCCAGGGGCGCAGGGCGACUGCGCGCUUCCUGGUCUGCAGCGUCUUCAGCCGCGCGCUCACACCCACACCGGCGGAAGGGGGAGGGUGGAGGGGCCUCGCGCGUCCCCCCAGCCGCACUGCGGGGUCUCCCUCUCCUCUGGCCCGGCAGAGCUCACAGGCCCGGACGGCGGGGGAGGAGGAGAGGCUGCCGCAGGCUGAGACUCCAGGCGCCCUGCUUCAAAGAGCCUAGCAUCCAUCCUAGGACCCAUUAGCUACAUUUUGAUCUACCCAUAGAGCUAAAGCCUCUGAGAAAGAAUGAUGCAAUUUCAAAUGAAU
ensembl:lncRNA